rnacentral:rRNA from 1 species
GACGAACCGUGCGAACGUUAUUCGGAAUCACUGGGCUUAAAGCGCGUGUAGGCGGGAGGGCACGUCCGUCGCUGAAAUCCCCCGGCUCAACCGGGGAAGUGGCGCGGAUACGACCUUCCUGGAGGGGCGUAGGGGGACCUGGAACUUCCGGUGGAGCGGUGAAAUGCGUUGAGAUCGGAAGGAACGCCCGUGGCGAAAGCGAGGUCCUGGACGACUACUGACGCUGAGACGCGAAAGCCAGGGGAGCGAACGGG